AGUGAACGCUGGCGGUAGGCCUAACACAUGCAAGUCGAACGGCAGCACAUUAAGAGCUUGCUCUUACGGGUGGCGAGUGGCGGACGGGUGAGGAAUACAUCGGAAUCUACUUUUUCGUGGGGGAUAACGUAGGGAAACUUACGCUAAUACCGCAUACGACCUACGGGUGAGAGCAGGGGAUCUUCGGACCUUGCGCGAUUGAAUGAGCCGAUGUCGGAUUAGCUAGUUGGCGGGGUAAAGGCCCACCAAGGCGACGAUCCGUAGCUGGUCUGAGAGGAUGAUCAGCCACACUGGAACUGAGACACGGUCCAGACUCCUACGGGAGGCAGCAGUGGGGAAUAUUGGACAAUGGGCGCAAGCCUGAUCCAGCCAUACCGCGUGGGUGAAGAAGGCCUUCGGGUUGUAAAGCCCUUUUGUUGGGAAAGAAAAGCAGCAGGUUAAUACCCCGCUGUUCUGACGUUACCAAAAGAAUAAGCACCGGCUAACUUCGUG
rnacentral:rRNA from 1 species